GCGUAUUGGGGCAUUGUGUUUACUUGGGCCUUGGCUGUGUUGCCGAGGUUGGUUGACGACUUCGUUGUCGUUUCUUUGAGCAUCAUUGUUGUUGGCUGCAGCGCCUCUGCUGCCUUCUUGAUGAGCUGUAAUGCGAGGAACAGAUGGGAUUGGUGAUUCUUUGUCGAGUAGCUUGUAAGCUUGCUCUGCAAGUUGUGCGAUUAGUCCGUUGUCGCGUUGCACGAGCUAAGUUGUGG
rnacentral:lncRNA from 1 species